rnacentral:rRNA from 1 species
CCCUAUCAACUUAAUUAAGUAAUUAAUUAAUCUUUAGAC